rnacentral:tRNA from 1 species
GACGGUUUGGCCGAGUGGUCUAAGGCGCCGAUUUAGGCUCUGGUCUGAAAGGGGUGGGUUUCAAAUCCCACAACCGUCA